rnacentral:rRNA from 1 species
AUGAGUGAGCAAGAUUCAAAACUACUUUUCAGAAAAACUGCUCACUCUGAGGUUAGUUUCCCAAACUACUUAGAGGAAGAAGUAUUAAGGAAAUGCGCCGGCAUUCCACUGUUCAUAUCUGGUAUGGCUGACUGGUUGAGAGAACAAAAGGAAGAACAGUUGAAGCUUCCCACAAUGCUGAAACAGUUUGAACGAUCGUUGUCUCCUGCUUAUGAUGAUCUUCCGCACUGGUUGAAAGUUCAGUUGUUGUAUGUUGCCAUGUUUCCUCAGGGUUAUAUCUUUGCAAAAAGUAGUUUCACCAAGCGAUUGGAUGCCGAAAUGCUGACCUAUCCAUCUUGUACUGAAGAGGACUAUUUUGGGGAGCUCAUAGAUAGGAAUAUCAUCACCCGAGUGAAAAGCAGUAGCAAACAGUCUCGUCAAGCAGAGGAAGAGGGCUGCCACUGGCAAGUGAAUUACUUCAUGUUACAUUUCCUUGCUUCCAAAUCAGCUGCGAAUGGCUUUGUUUAUACCAGUGGUACACUGAAAAACUCAGGAGACAAUAAACCACGACGGUUGUCCCUCCACGAGCCUGAUCUGCAGCUUCCAUCACUGCUGGAAGAAAUGAAUUUAUCGUACACCCGUUCACUUGUGGUCUCUGGUGUAGUGAGCGGGAUCCCUCUUGAUAAGCUUAUAUUUUUGAAGGUGCUGGACCUUGAAGGUUGGUGUUGCUUCGAGGAGCAACACUGGUUGGCAAUAUGUAAACUGUUUCUGCUACGGUACCUGAGCCUGAGGAAGACACUGGUCAGAAAGCUCCCUCCCAAGAUUAAGGAUUUGUACAAACUAGAAACACUAGAUCUAAGCCACACACAGAUCACUGAGCUACCGUCACAAAUGUGCGAGCUUGCAGGGCUGAGGAUGUUGGACCUAAGAGGGACCCCAGUCAUGCGGCUGCCAAAACAAUUCCAGAAGAUGCGGCAGUUGCGACACCUUCUCCUUGGUGGCAAUGGAGUUGAUAACCCCAACACAACAGUGACACAAGUACCGGAGGAAAUCCGGUAUCUUUGUGACCUAGAUACACUUGCAGUUGAUUUGAGUGGAUGCUCUCCAAGCCUUUUAGAGGCUCUUGGUUCCAUAUGGAAACUAAGAGUGUUGGCCAUAAAUUGUUCUUUUCACCAGUCUACUGACAGAAAGUUCCAGGAAACCUUGUGUUCAUGCAUAGAGAAAUGGGAACAGCUCGAGGCUCUGACCAUCCACUGCGAACCCGGUUGUCACAUGGAGUUUUUAAGUUCUGAUAUCUUGGUUCAAACUCGUUGGCUAAUGAAAUUUAAGGUGACAGGUGGAAGAUUUCUCAACUUUCCCCGAUGGCUCAGUAAGCUUGAUUGUCUUGCUUUCAUCGAGAUCACUAUUGAAAAGAUACUGCAAGAUGAUCUAACUAUCCUUGGGAAAAUGCGGAGGUUGGAAUGCCUUGUGCUAGGCCUGCACUUGCUUCCAGAAGAAGCGGUAGUGAUCGAUGGGGAGCCUCUUUUCCUUGGGCUUCAGAGAUUGUCCGUCCGCUGGCGCGUUCCAUGGAUGACUUUCAUGAAAGGCGCUAUGCCGAUGCUAACACAUCUUGAACUAAAGAACAUCGGAGGAAGCCCGUUGAGUGAACAGUGCGUCUCUUCAGGUAUCAUCAACCUCCAGUAG